rnacentral:rRNA from 1 species
UACGAAGGGGGCUAGCGUUGUUCGGAUUUACUGGGCGUAAAGCGCACGUAGGCGGAUCGUUAAGUCGGGGGUGAAAUCCUGGAGCUCAACUCCAGAACUGCCUCCGAUACUGGCGAUCUUGAGUCCGGAAGAGGUGAGUGGAACUCCUAGUGUAGAGGUGGAAUUCGUAGAUAAUAGGAAGAACACCAGUGGCGAAGGCGGCUCACUGGUCCGGUACUGACGCUGAGGUGCGAAAGCGUGGGGAGCAAACAGG